UUAGGAAACGACUGACUAACUACCGCAUAUGUGGUUUGGGGCACUCCCCGGAACACCAAAGAUUUAUUGCUGAAAGAUGGCCUCGCGUCUGAUUAGCUAGUUGGCGGGGUAACGGCCCACCAAGGCGACGAUCAGUAGCCGGACUGAGAGGUUGAACGGCCACAUUGGGACUGAGAUACGGCCCAGACUCCUACGGGAGGCAGCAGUGGGGAAUAUUGGGCAAUGGGCGCAAGCCUGACCCAGCAACGCCGCGUGAAGGAAGAAGGCUUUCGGGUUGUAAACUUCUUUAAGAGGGAAGAGCAGAAGACGGUACCUCUAGAAUAAGCCACGGCUAACUACGUG
rnacentral:rRNA from 1 species